GCUAGUGGGUGGGGUAAAGGCUCACCAAGGCGACGAUCUGUAGCGGGUCUUAGAGGAUGAUCCGCCACACUGGAACUGAGACACGGUCCAGACUCCUACGGGAGGCAGCAGUGGGGAAUUUUGGACAAUGGGCGCAAGCCUGAUCCAGCCAUGCCGCGUGAGUGAAGAAGGCCUUCGGGUUGUAAAGCUCUUUCGGCCGGGAAAAAAUCGCUUGGGUUAAUACCCUGAGUGGAUGAUGGUACCGGAAUAAGAAGCACCGGCUAACUACGUGCCAGCAGCCGCGGUAAUACGUAGGGUGCGAGCGUUAAUCGGAAUUACUGGGCGUAAAGCGUGCGCAGGCGGUUUUGUAAGACAGGCGUGAAAUCCCCGGGCUCAACCUGGGAACUGCGUUUGUGACUGCAAGGCUAGAGUAUGGCAGAGGGGGGUGGAAUUCCACGUGUAGCAGUGAAAUGCGUAGAGAUGUGGAGGAACACCAAUGGCGAAGGCAGCCCCCUGGGCCAAUACUGACGCUCAUGCACGAAAGCGUGGGGAGCAAACAGGAUUAGAUACCCUGGUAGUCCACGCCCUAAACGAUGUCAACUAGGUGUUGGGUGGGUAAAACCAUUUGGUACCGUAGCUAACGCGUGAAGUUGACCGCCUGGGGAGUACGGCCGCAAGGUUAAAACUCAAAGGAAUUGACGGGGACCCGCACAAGCGGUGGAUGAUGUGGAUUAAUUCGAUGCAACGCGAAAAACCUUACCUACCCUUGACAUGCCAGGAACUUGCCAGAGAUGGCUUGGUGCCCGAAAGGGAGCCUGGACACAGGUGCUGCAUGGCUGUCGUCAGCUCGUGUCGUGAGAUGUUGGGUUAAGUCCCGCAACGAGCGCAACCCUUGUCGUUAAUUGCCAUCAUUUAGUUGGGCACUUUAACGAGACUGCCGGUGACAAACCGGAGGAAGGUGGGGAUGACGUCAAGUCCUCAUGGCCCUUAUGGGUAGGGCUUCACACGUCAUACAAUGGUCGGUACAAAGGGUUGCCAAGCCGCGAGGCGGAGCCAAUCCCAGAAAGCCGAUCGUAGUCCGGAUCGCAGGCUGCAACUCGCCUGCGUGAAGUCGGAAUCGCUAGUAAUCGUGGAUCAGCAUGUCACGGUGAAUACGUUCCCGGGUCUUGUACACACCGCCCGUCACACCAUGGGAGCGGGUUCCGCCAGAAGUAGGUAGCCUAACCGCAAGGAGGGCGCUUACCACGGCGGGGUUCGUGACUGGGGUGAAGUCGUAACAAGGUA
rnacentral:rRNA from 1 species